rnacentral:rRNA from 1 species
CACGAAGGGGGGCUAGCGUUGCUCGGAAUCACUGGGCUUAAAGGGUGCGUAGGCGGCCAUGUAAGUGGGGUGUGAAAUCCCUCGGCUCAACCGAGGAACUGCGCUCCAUACUGCAUGGCUUGAGGGAGACAGGGGUAAGCGGAACUGAUGGUGGAGCGGUGAAAUGCGUUGAUAUCAUCAGGAACACCGGUGGCGAAAGCGGCUUACUGGGUCUCUUCUGACGCUGAGGUACGAAAGCUAGGGGAGCGAACGGG